AUUGAACGCUGGCGGCAUGCCUUACACAUGCAAGUCGAACGGUAACAGGUCUUCGGAUGCUGACGAGUGGCGAACGGGUGAGUAAUACAUCGGAACGUGCCCGAUCGUGGGGGAUAACGAAGCGAAAGCUUUGCUAAUACCGCAUACGAUCUACGGAUGAAAGCAGGGGACCGCAAGGCCUUGCGCGAACGGAGCGGCCGAUGGCAGAUUAGGUAGUUGGUGGGAUAAAAGCUUACCAAGCCGACGAUCUGUAGCUGGUCUGAGAGGACGACCAGCCACACUGGGACUGAGACACGGCCCAGACUCCUACGGGAGGCAGCUGUGGGGAAUUUUGGACAAUGGGCGAAAGCCUGAUCCAGUCAUGCCGCGUGCAGGAUGAAGGCCUUCGGGUUGUAAACUGCUUUUGUACGGAACGAAAAGACUCUGGUUAAUACCUGGGGUCCAUGACGGUACCGUAAGAAUAAGCACCGGCUAACUACGUG
rnacentral:rRNA from 1 species